rnacentral:lncRNA from 1 species
GGCUGUCAGUGUCCAGCAUCUGUGAAAGCGGGGAUCCUCCAAGCCAGGGCUAGGGUGUGAUUUAUUCUGCAGUUGACUCCACAGGCUGCAGGUGGCAUUGGCCUGUAGAUGCGAGACUUUAUGGUGCUGUGUGGCCUCAGGAGCUCACCAGACCAGACCCUCUGGGCCUCAGGCCACUCUGAGGCUGCACCCAAGGAGGAAUCAGUAGGGACAGAGGGUCAGCAGUAGCGUGCAGGGUUGGUGGCAGCUGCACGGUGGUGGCGGUGAUGGUGAGAGGUCUGGGGCAGGGGCUGCAGGCCAGGUCCCAGCGUGAGAUUACUGUCGGCCACCAGCCCAUGGAGCAGAUGUCGUCUCUCCAGCCACUGUAGCAACUC